AGCACAAUUUUGUGCAAAUCUGUUAGUUUUCAACAGCAACUGUUUUUAAAUAAUAAAGCAACUUAUUUUUCAAGUCCCUUAUAAAGCCGAUGUCUUCUCAGGUAACAUUGCAUUUCUUUUGUAGACUAAUUAUAUAAAUGUACGUCAGGUGCAUAACUAAAUAAUUUAGUAAAACUAAUAUAUU